rnacentral:rRNA from 1 species
GUCUACAGCCAUGCCACCCUGAACAAGCCCAAUGUCUGAUCUCGGAAGCCUAAGCAGGGUCUGCCUGGUUAGUACUUGGAUGGGAGACAACCUAGGAAGACCAGGUGCUGCAGGUG